AAACAGAACAAGCCAUAAUCAGAUCACAUUUAAUACCCAUCUGAGAGGCAAAGAGAAACAACUCUGUGUUUACAUCACAGUCCGGAUUCCUUCCUGUUGGUCUUCUGUUAACCUCCAGGAGGGCGGUGAGGCCAACAGCCUUCCCUGAGCUCCACCAGGACUGCUCUGCCCCACUGAGCAGCUCCCAACGGCCCUCCCUGCACAGUUGGUUUUGGGAUCGCAGCAGAAACAAUCGUGCCUCUGUCUGUGAUGCGGCAGAGCAGAAUGAAUGGAUGCUGAAAUGAGAUGUUGUAUUGUGAGAACAGACGAAGGGCAUGGAAGAAAGCUCCUUUCUAUGGCUCAGUUUGUAGAGUCAGACGAGAGAGGGAUUUAUUUUUUGUUACUGGUCCAAUCAUCUGAUUGUGAGUGGAUGCCAGUAAAAACUGGGACUCCCCACAUCCUACCUUCCCUCUGCUCUAUUUAUUUUUGCACCUUCUGAGCACGUGGCAUCUCAGCAGCACCUCACCUGCUGCCCCAGAGGACGAAGCACGCCGGCAAGAGGAGGAGGAGGGCUGUGACACAUCCCCAUAGAACAGCGAGCAAAACCUUUCCCAGGCAUCGGAGCCGAGAGGACAUUUCCAGCGCCCCCUGAUUUCGCGAGGGGAAACUCCACCUCAAAGCAGCGCUGAGGGCACAGCAUCGGGAAUUUGUCCUGAAGAGCCCAGAAGGUGAACGUUGUAACCACCAGGCAGGCUGACAAAGCACCAACAUUACUUGCGGGGCAGCCAGGACACACAGGAGCUGGUCUCCAAUAUCCUGGUGCAGGACAGCAGGAGCAUCCCUCUGCCUCUCACUGUCUCACCCAGGACCAAGGCUUCCUGGCAGGGAACUGGAGUGAAUCAUGCAGAAGGAGAGAACUGGAGCAGGAAAUACAGCUGCCAGGCUGACUCAGCACACGGCUUCUCUCUUGGACCUUGAACAGAUGGGAACUGUGAUCAGUGUUAAUGUUUAACUCCACCAAAAAUCCCCUGUUUAGCAAAAGACACCUGAAGCUCACCAGCUUUUCUGGAAGGAGGUGCUUUGCUUUGCCAGGAGAUGCGCUGAUGAUGAUUCCUCAGUGGCCAGAUCAGCAAUUGCACCUUUUAGCAGGCAAAUGAAAUCCAAAGGGCCUCACAACAGAGAAGCUCCAGGAAGGAGAUGGAUAAAAUCAGUUAAUCUCUGCAGGCCUGCACUAUGCUGGGCAUGUCAAGUCACACCAUAACUACAGAUCUGCUUUAUAGACCUCCAAUGUGUAGAGCAAUAACAAAGCAUGCAUCUGUGCAGAGGCCCGAAUUGUACAACAGUCACCAAUGAGCUGGAAAAUAAGUAAACAGUGAAGUGACAAAUCUACUGAUACGGAACUACUCAGGACAUCCAAACUGACUGGAAAGAGUCAGGAAGGAAUCCCACAUCACUGGGCAAUCCAACAACGAAUGCAAAUAUGAAGGGGCAAAGCUAGCUUGACUGUAAUUACACAGUGAUGAGGUCUAAGUUUGCUAUUUCUACUUAGAAAGGAGCUCAUGGAAUCAUGGGG
ensembl:lncRNA